rnacentral:rRNA from 1 species
AGAGUUUGAUCCUGGCUCAGAACGUACGCUGGCGGCACGCCUAACACAUGCAAGUCGAACGAAGUAGCAAUACUUAGUGGCAGACGGGUGAGUAACAUGUAGGUAUCUGCCCUUUGGCCUGGAAUAACACGAGGAAACUUGUGCUAAUACCGGAUAAGUCUUUACGGAGAAAGCUUUAUGCACCAUUGGAUGAGCCUGCACUUGAUUAGUUUGUUGGUGGGGUAAUGGCCUACCAAGACUGUGAUCAAUAGCUGAUUUGAGAGGAUGAUCAGCCACAUUGGGACUGAGACACGGCCCAAACUCCUACGGGAGGCAGCAGUGGGGAAUCUUGCACAAUGGAGGAAACUCUGAUGCAGCGAUGCCGCGUGAGUGAAGAAGGCCCUUGGGUUGUAAAGCUCUUUCGUCGGGGAAGAAAAUGACUGUACCCGAAUAAGAAGGUCCGGCUAACUUCGUGCCAGCAGCCGCGGUAAUACGAAGGGACCUAGCGUAGUUCGGAAUUACUGGGCUUAAAGAGUUCGUAGGUGGUUGAACAAGUUAGUGGUGAAAUCCCAGAGCUUAACUCUGGAACUGCCAUUAAAACUUUUCAGCUAGAGUAUGAUAGAGGAAAGCAGAAUUUCUAGUGUAGAGGUGAAAUUCGUAGAUAUUAGAAAGAAUACCAAUUGCGAAGGCAGCUUUCUGGAUCAUUACUGACACUGAGGAACGAAAGCAUGGGUAGCGAAGAGGAUUAGAUACCCUCGUAGUCCAUGCCGUAAACGAUGUGUGUUAGACGUUGGAAAUUUAUUUUCAGUGUCGCAGGGAAACCGAUAAACACACCGCCUGGGGAGCACGACCGCAAGGUUAAAACUCAAAUGAAUUGACGGGGACCCGCACAAGUAGUGGAGCAUGUGGGUUUAAUUCGAAGAUACGCGCAGAACCUUACCAACACUUGACAUGUUCGUCGCGACUCUAAGAGAUUAGAGUUUUCGGUUCGGCCGGACGAAACACAGGUGCUGCAUGGCUGUCGUCAGCUCGUGUCGUGAGAUGUUGGGUUAAGUCCCGCAACGAGCGCAACCCUCACUUUUAGUUGCCAUCAUUAAGUUGGGCACUCUGAAAGAACUGCCAGUGAUAAGCUGGAGGAAGGUGGGGAUGACGUCAAGUCCUCAUGGCCCUUACGUGUUGGGCUACACACGUGCUACAAUGGUAUCUACAACAGGAAGCAAGACUGCGAAGUUAAGCAAAUCCCUAAAAGAUACCUCAGUUCGGAUUGCACUCUGCAACUCGAGUGCAUGAAGCUGGAAUUACUAGUAAUCGUGGAUCAGCGUGCCACGGUGAAUGCGUUCCCGGGCCUUGUACACACCGCCCGUCACACCAUGGGAGUUGGUUCUACCUUAAGGCAAGGUUUCAAACCCUUGACCACGGUAUAGUCAGCGACUGGGGUGAAGUCGUAACAAGGUAACC